rnacentral:rRNA from 1 species
GACGAACGCUGGCGGCGUGCUUAACAUAUGCAAGUCGAACGGAAAGGCCCUGCUUUUGUGGGGUGCUCGAGUGGCGAACGGGUGAGUAACACGUGAGUAACCUGCCCUUGACUUUGGGAUAACUUCAGGAAACUGGGGCUAAUACCGGAUAGGAGCUCCUGCUGCAUGGUGGGGGUUGGAAAGUUUCGGCGGUUGGGGAUGGACUCGCGGCUUAUCAGCUUGUUGGUGGGGUAGUGGCUUACCAAGGCUUUGACGGGUAGCCGGCCUGAGAGGGUGACCGGCCACAUUGGGACUGAGAUACGGCCCAGACUCCUACGGGAGGCAGCAGUGGGGAAUAUUGCACAAUGGGCGGAAGCCUGAUGCAGCAACGCCGCGUGCGGGAUGACGGCCUUCGGGUUGUAAACCGCUUUCGCCUGUGACGAAGCGUGAGUGACGGUAAUGGGUAAAGAAGCACCGGCUAACUACGUGCCAGCAGCCGCGGUGAUACGUAGGGUGCGAGCAUUGUCCGGAUUUAUUGGGCGUAAAGGGCUCGUAGGUGGUUGAUCGCGUCGGAAGUGUAAUCUUGGGGCUUAACCCUGAGCGUGCUUUCGAUACGGGUUGACUUGAGGAAGGUAGGGGAGAAUGGAAUUCCUGGUGGAGCGGUGGAAUGCGCAGAUAUCAGGAGGAACACCAGUGGCGAAGGCGGUUCUCUGGGCCUUUCCUGACGCUGAGGAGCGAAAGCGUGGGGAGCGAACAGGCUUAGAUACCCUGGUAGUCCACGCUGUAAACGGUGGGUACUAGGUGUGGGGUCCAUUCCACGGGUUCCGUGCCGUAGCUAACGCUUUAAGUACCCCGCCUGGGGAGUACGGCCGCAAGGCUAAAACUCAAAGGAAUUGACGGGGCCCCGCACAAGCGGCGGAGCAUGCGGAUUAAUUCGAUGCAACGCGUAGAACCUUACCUGGGUUUGACAUGGAUCGGGAGUGCUCAGAGAUGGGUGUGCCUCUUUUGGGGUCGGUUCACAGGUGGUGCAUGGCUGUCGUCAGCUCGUGUCGUGAGAUGUUGGGUUAAGUCCCGCAACGAGCGCAACCCUUGUUCACUGUUGCCAGCACGUUAUGGUGGGGACUCAGUGGAGACCGCCGGGGUCAACUCGGAGGAAGGUGGGGAUGACGUCAAGUCAUCAUGCCCCUUAUGUCCAGGGCUUCACGCAUGCUACAAUGGCUGGUACAGAGAGUGGCGAGCCUGUGAGGGUGAGCGAAUCUCGGAAAGCCGGUCUCAGUUCGGAUUGGGGUCUGCAACUCGACCUCAUGAAGUCGGAGUCGCUAGUAAUCGCAGAUCAGCAACGCUGCGGUGAAUACGUUCCCGGG